CCUACGGGGGGCAGCAGUGAGGAAUAUUGGUCAAUGGGCGGAAGCCUGAACCAGCCAAGUCGCGUGAGGGAUUAAGGCCCUGCGGGUCGUAAACCUCUUUUGCCGGGGAGCAGUGGUCCGGACGCGUCCGGACCGGGAGAGUACCCGGAGAAAAAGCAUCGUCUAACUCCGUGCCAGCAGCCGCGGUAAUCCGGAGGAUGGGAGCGUUAUCGGGAUUUAUUGGGUUUAAGGGGUGCGAAGGCGGGCAUUUAGGCCGGCGGUCAAAUGUCGGGGUUCAACCACGGCCUGCCGUUGGAACUGGGUGCCUUGAGUGGGCGAGAGGUAUGCGGAAUGCGUGGUGUAGCGGUGAAAUGCAUAGAUAUCACGCAGAACCCCGAUUGCGAAGGCAGCAUACCGGCGCCCUACUGACGCUGAGGCACGAAAGUGCGGGUAUCGAACAGGAUUAGAUACCCUGGUAGUC
rnacentral:rRNA from 1 species